UCAACGAUAUUGUAAACUUUCCGGAAAUAUUAUAGUUGGCCACUAUUUUGUUACUUAUUUUACCGGAAGUGUGUUUGUUUUGGAACGGCAUGCAUGGAUAGAUAAUCCCACGUUUUGUUUAGUACGUUAUAGCUCAAUAAUGUUGGACCCAUCAAUGUGUUGAAACACUGGAAUAAAUGGUUACAACAGAUG